GGUUUAAUUCGAUGCAACGCGUAAGAACCUUACCAGGGUUUGACAUCCUGCGAAUCUUUUGGAAACAGAAGAGUGCCUUCGGGAACGCAGAGACAGGUGGUGCAUGGCUGUCGUCAGCUCGUGUCGUGAGAUGUUGGGUUAAGUCCCGCAACGAGCGCAACCCACGUCUUUAGUUGCCAGCAUUCAGUUGGGCACUCUAGAGAGACCGCCGGUGAUAAACCGGAGGAAGGUGUGGAUGACGUCAAGUCAUCAUGCCCCUUACAUCCUGGGCUACACACGUACUACAAUGCUACGGACAAAGGGCAGCAAACUCGCGAGAGCUAGCAAAUCCCAUAAACCGUGGCUCAGUUCAGAUCGUAGGCUGCAACUCGCCUACGUGAAGGAGGAAUCGCUAGUAAUCGCAGGUCAGCAUACUGCGGUGAAUACGUUCCCGGGCCUU
rnacentral:rRNA from 1 species